GGGAAGAGCUCAAAUUUAAAAUCUGGCAGUCUUUUUGGCUGUCCGAGUUGUAAUUUAGAGAAGUGUUACCCGUGCUGGACCGUAUACAAGUCCUCUGGAAUGGGGCGUCAUAGAGGGUGAGAAUCCCGUCUUUGAUACGGACUACCAGUGCUUUGUGGUGCACUCUCGAAGAGUCGAGUUGUUUGGGAAUGCAGCUCAAAAUGGGUGGUAAAUUCCAUCUAAAGCUAAAUACAGGCGAGAGACCGAUAGCGAACAAGUACCGUGAGGGAAAGAUGAAAAGAACUUUGGAAAGAGAGUUAAACAGUACGUGAAAUUGCUGAAAGGGAAACGCUUGAAGUCAGUCGCAUUGUCUGAGAAUCAGCCUUGCUUCAUUUGCAUGGUGUACUUCUUAGUUGAUGGGUCAGCAUCAGUUUUGACUGCUGGAUAAAGUUCAAAGGAAUGUGGCAUCCUUGGAUGUGUUAUAGCCCUUGUUCGUAUACAGCAGUUGGGACUGAGGAACUCAGCACGCCGAAAGGCCGGGUUUUU
rnacentral:misc_RNA from 1 species